CCCAAGCUGUCCGCCAGCGCACCGCCAUGGAGGACCUGGGUGAGUGGGGACCGGAUCCCCCUAGCCUCUCACCCUUCCCUGCAUCUACCUUCUUCCUAACUCACACAUCUUUCCCAUCCCAGUUUUCUUUUUCCAUUUUCUCGCCUCAGCCUGCCUGUGCCUCCCUCCCAAAUCCACAUACCCUUUCCUGCCUCUCCCUUCCUGUCUUGCUUGCGAUGCCGCUCCCUCCGUUCUUCCCUGGCUCUCUCUGCUCCCUCAAUCCUGCUUCUGCAAUGGACAAAGCGUUAAGGCACCCAUGGGGGCCUGAAUUCAGAGACUCUGGGAAGGAAGGGGUUAAGGGAUCAUUGACUCCGGAGACUGGGAAGAUAGACUAGAGAGAAGAGUGUGACCUCUAGAUGAAAGGGGUUUCAAGGUAUAGCAGGAGUCAAGAAAGUCCUCGGGGCAAGAAAGAGAAUAAUAGAGUGUGCCAGGGUGAUAGAAAGAAGCUUAAGGCUUCUGCCACAGAUACUCGGAGAAGAGUAAAGUGACGGCAGCUCAUCGAUGAUAAAGCGCCCCAGACGUCUUGUCCCCUCUAUUGGCGGAGGCUAGGGCUGACUCUGCUCUUCGUGGCAGAGCUACUGGACCCAGCAGCAGAGGGCGCUCCUCAAUAAUAGUACAUGGAUAAGAAGUACACCCAAAAAGCCGCUCCCAGCCAGGGCCACUUACCCCUGAGGGCAGGGCAAGACUUCAGUGUGGCCAA
rnacentral:lncRNA from 1 species